rnacentral:lncRNA from 10 species
CAGUGAUCUGAUUGCCAGAAGAGGAAACUGGUAUAGAUCCUGAGGGCAAGCAAUGUUUUUAUUAUUAACCGCUUUGGGAUUUAUCUUGGUUAUCUCAUGAGCUGAAAAAAAAGAAGUCCCUAUUCUUACAACAAGAAAAGCCUUGUUCAGGCUGUAAAGUAAUGGCUUUUCUAACCCAGAUGAAAACAGGUCAAAGGAUAAACGACCAUCCAAAAUUCUGAGGAGACAUAGGCACAUCCAGGGAGACAGAGGAGUCAAACAGUUGCUAACCUUGGACAGAGGCUGCUAGAUACCAAGAAAGCCCGCCAGAAUAUCGAAGAAACACUGAUAAUUCCUUGGAAGUUGAACAUUAGUAUGGGGCUACGGUAAUGGGCUUUCCACCCAUUUGAAUGCUUUUUUCUCUAGAAACACCAUGAGGCUUUUACAGGGGGGAUCUGAGAGAAUCCAGAGAAUGUUUCCCUUGUCUUACUAGUUGGGGAGGGAAAGACCAGACACCGUAAAGUCCAUCCAGAUCCCACUGCCAUGUGAAACAAAGGCUUAAUCAGCAGUGGGAAGGGCCAGAAGAAUGCAGACUAACAGUACUAGAGGAUAUUUUUUGCAGCUAGUAAAAGG